AGUACUGGUUGAGUUAACGCAAGCAGCCGCCGCCACUUCGCUUUGCUGGUUACGUGUUCUGGUAGCUCUGGAAAGGGGUGUGGGAGGGCCGGCUCUCUCAUUUGCUCACUGAGGGAAAUGAGGCCCCACAGAGGAUCUGGGGUGUGUUCAGUGCUGCGUAAGCAGAAGGUGGUGGAGCCAGGAGUUCCUAAAUCCCGUUCUGCCAAGGUAGCACGAGGACACACGUAAUUGGAUCCCUUAGGAACGUGGUUUUCUGACUUGGAGAAUGGACGUCACGCUCUACAGUGGUGGUGUAAGGAUGAAAGGGAGCCCUGGUAAGCGCAUGUAAGCCAUUUCAGGCAGUGUUUUCACAUACACAGAGCACGGUGUAUUUAUGUAUCAUGUCUGUAUCAUACCUCAGCUUCUGCUCUUCGAGCAUCGUGUUGACAGGCACAGGUUUAAUUUACACUUCUAGACAUCCACCCCUAAAUCUCUUUACCUAUGUCAUAGCAAAUUAUGGCACAGUUUAUCAGAUCCUCAAUGGGAUGAUUUCCCCGGGGUCUAAACUUAAAGCAAGUUUCUCCCAGUACUUUUUACUUGUUAUCCUCUUCGACCACUUUGCAAAGGCCAGGAGUGUUUCCCGAUGGUCAAGAUGAGGCUACGGUUUAUUGGAUCACACCAUCAGGUGGAGUUAGAUUGACGCUGUAAUAUGUGUGCCAGUUGACACAUCUGAAUAAGGCCAUAAGCAUCAGGCAGAAGCAGAAUCAUAAAAAUGCACUUAUCGGCCACUGCAUUUGUGUAAGCGAUUACACAACUGGUCAGGAAUUUCCUGCUGUGCCAAUUUCUUUUCCCCCCCUGUGGAACUUUUCGACUGCUUGUAAUGGGUCCCUGUGCUUCUUCCUGAGGCCUGGCUGUUAUCAGCUAGUCCUUCCUAUGUGGUUUGGCGUGCUCGAGACACUUGUGAAUGGGUGUGCCCGGCUUCCAAUGAUUAGAAUGUGUGGCUGUGUCACAGAAGGCUGGCUGUCAUCUCUGCUCCUUCACACACAGGAGUGUUGUAAGUGACUUUUCAAACACAUCUUAGUUCUUCAAACCUCUAGGAAAACGAUUUCAUAAGAUCAGAAGCUCUGCACAUUCUAUAAGAAAUAAUUUUCUUAAAAAAAAAAAAAGGAUGUGUGAGGUAACAAUGAAGAAACUUCCGGAGAGCUGAGGAAGAGCAUGAAACCUUCGAGUAUUAAUCAAGGAACUGCUAUGUAUGGCUUUCUAUACUCCAUGAGAGGACAGUUGUGAGCCUGGGGACAGAUCCAGUGACCCGGGAUUGCAGCUCCUACCCGUGUCCCUCUGGGGACCAUCACCGUGGUCUGAAGGAAAGACAGGGAACAAAAAUGGAACAGAGACUGAAG
rnacentral:sRNA from 1 species